rnacentral:rRNA from 1 species
UACGGGGGGGGCAAGCGUUGUUCGGAAUUACUGGGCGUAAAGGGCGCGUAGGCGGCCAGAUAAGUCCGGUGUGAAAGCCACAGGCUCAACCUGUGAAUGCCGCUGGAAACUGUCUGGCUAGAGUCCGGGAGGGGCGAGUGGAAUUCCUGGUGUAGCGGUGAAAUGCGCAGAUAUCAGGAGGAACACCAAUGGCGAAGGCAGCUCGCUGGAACGGAAACUGACGCUGAGGCGCGAAAGCGUGGGGAGCGAACAGG